UGUAUUGUUUUUGCAGAGUUUGAGGAUGAUCCAGAUCUUUAUGUGCUGAAGCCUUUGAAGUAUAUUGGAAUUGAAGUUUGGCAGGUAAAAGCUGGUUCAAUUUUCGACAACAUUCUGAUUUAUGAUGACCCUGAGUAUGCAAGAAAGAUUGUUGAGGAAACUUGGGGGUGCAAAUAGGGAGGCUGAAAAGGAAGCUUUUGAAGAAGCUGAAAAGGAGAGGAAAGCUAGGGAGGAUAGGGUAAGAAUGAAGCAUUAUGAUUUAUGAAUUAU